ACCUGGUUGGCUCAGUUGGUUAAGUGCCUGACUUCAACUCAGGUCAUAAUCUCACAGUUCAUGGGUUUGAGCCCUGCAUCAGGCU
rnacentral:tRNA from 1 species